GGUCAGGAUGAACGCUAGCUACAGGCUUAACACAUGCAAGUCGAGGGGCAGCAUUGGGGUAGCAAUACUCAGAUGGCGACCGGCGCACGGGUGAGUAACACGUAUCCAACCUGCCGCUUACUCGGGGAUAGCCUUUCGAAAGAAAGAUUAAUACCCGAUGGUAUAAAGAGUUCGCAUGUUCUCUUUAUUAAAGAAUUUCGGUAAGCGAUGGGGAUGCGUUCCAUUAGAUAGUUGGCGGGGUAACGGCCCACCAAGUCUACGAUGGAUAGGGGUUCUGAGAGGAAGGUCCCCCACAUUGGAACUGAGACACGGUCCAAACUCCUACGGGAGGCGGCAGUGAGGAAUAUUGGUCAAUGGACGAGAGUCUGAACCAGCCAAAGUAGCGUGAAGGAUGACUGCCCUAUGGGUUGUAAACUUCUUUUAUAAGGGAAUAAAGUGAGGGACGUGUCCCUUUUUGUAUGUACCUUAUGAAUAAGGAUCGGCUAACUCCGUGCCAGCCGCGGC
rnacentral:rRNA from 1 species